UUUCUUUGAAUUUAAAUAACAUGGGUGUUAACACCGUCGUUCUCACCAGCGCAAUUGCAAUAGCGGUGGUGCAGGUGGCGGUGAUGAUCAACAAUGGUAUCAUUUCAGUUAAGGUCCGACCCGACAAACCGAAACAGGAUUAGGUGACAAUUGUUUUUGCUGUGCAAGAUUAGGGGACAUUAAUUUCGCACACCAACUGUUUGAUAAAAUGCUUGAUCGCGAUGUCAAUGCCUGGAAUGCAAUAAAGGAAGAAUCUAUGCAAUAUGGGGAGCAGUUGAUGGGAUAACAAUCGUGUUUUUCACGAUAGGAAUGUAGGCUUGAAGAUCAAUGAGGUGUCAGCGUUUUAGCACACAGGUAAAUCUGGUGGCGGUUGCUCCAGUUUCUGCAUUGGCCCAGGCCCAUCCUCCACAACAAACACUGUGGCCAGACCCCAACCGAUGUGUACGUCUAAGUGGCAGUGCAUGAUCCAGGUAAGCUAACUGUAUUUCUAAGAGGUGGGUCCACAAGGUUGAAUUUAGCAGUAUCGGUUUUAGGGUUGAAGUUUCCGAAUCCCUCUGCAAGUAUAUAGAAAUCGUAUCCAUGAAGAUGAAUCGGGUGGUUCUCAGCUGUAAAGAUAUUUGUUCCUUGCAACACAAUCUGAACACUUGAUCCAUAUUUCAACUUAUACACCUUGGUCCCACGAGUAGGCUGCCACAACGACCGGCUUACAUUACCCGUAUAAUCAAAGGUAACCGGUGGCUUUGCCGGAAAAUCGGUUGUGAAGACCCCUGGUAUUCCUUGGUGAUGUGCUUGAAGUAUAGAGAUAUUUGAUGGGAGUACAAACGACACAUUGUUCAUGCUGGCGGUGAAGCGGGUCCCAUUGGGCGCCUGACAGUUUCUAGCCCGUGUUUUUGGGGGGCACUGGUUGAUUCCAAGUCCCAUCGUGAUGAACAGAUUGUGGUCAAUUUCAGUCGGGACAAUGGGUUUUCUAAGGCUUCUGAAGCUGGUGGUGAAGGCGGUAGCGGUGGCAGUGUCGUUAUAUGCCGGGAGAGGCGGCAUAAUUGGCUUUGAAGUGGCGGAUUUGUACUCCAAAAUGGCGGUGGUGGUGGUGUUGUCGAACGGUGCACCUUGUGCACUGGCGUAAGCCCGUGCAGCAAUGUAGUAACGGCCUGUCGGCUGGUCGGCUUUCAUGAGGACAUCGGUGGUCUGUCCCGGUCCAAGCAUGAGGACUUUCGUGGUAAAGGGUUUUACGUAGGAAGCAUCCGCUCCCACCACUGUAAGCUUGUGGUUAGCAAUAGUGAAAAAUAGUUGUUGAUUUAGAGCAGCAUUAAUCACCCGAAUUAGGCUUGUUUCUCCUGGGUUGACUGAACUGUAGAAGCAGACCUUUGCUAGAGCAUUUAUAGAGAUCACCAGGUUGACCGUUAAUGGUAUACGCAUCAGAAACGUUUGGAGCUGCACCUGUUCUUGUGGCUUCUCGUACAACAUCUAUCGGGUUUGCAUCCCACCAUUCACCUGCCAUCGUCAUCAUCAUCAUAUUAGAUCACAUAUGUAAUAUUUUGGACUUCUGCUAAAUGUACAUUUUCUUUGCGAAUAAACUUUAUACC
rnacentral:lncRNA from 1 species